UACACCAGUCACCCCACAUCGUCUCUCGGGGACUUGGCAUCGGACCAGCGGCUAGUUUUCUCCUAAACUACACUCUGGCUCCUGGGGCAGGGAGGCGAGAAAACUACUUACCACCAGACACCACCAGAUUUUACCACUGACUACCAGCUGUUCCACAAGGGCAGCUAGGUGUUGAGAGUCUUUUAAUAUUUUACUUGGCAGGUAAAACCAAGGGUCAGACUGAAUUGUUCAGUUGGCUGUUUUUAAGGAAUAUUGAUGGCAUCGAAAAGUAUGUGUGAUCUUGUUUCCUGGGGACCUCGGGACUGGAGGAACAGAGGGAGUUCAUACGAGGCUGCAAAAUACACCAGAGAAGGCCCUCAGGACGAGCCAGUACGGCAGGCUGAUGUUGGCGCUGACUCCCCUAGAGGCUCAACCCCAAGGGCAGCGUAUCGCGUGGCACAACAGA